AAAAUAACUAGUUAUUUGAUAUUCUAACAUUUUUCAUACCUAAAUUGAAUAAUAUUGGAGAAACAUGAUUCGAGAAAGUCACAAAGUAAGACAUUAGUCCUAGGAAAAUAGUGCGGUAGCUCUUUUUUUCCCAUUUAUAAUAAUGAAAUGAUAAGAAACGCAGCAAAACUCAAAAGUGCAGCCGUUACAAUACAACUCCCACUCGGUCCCAUCCAUAUUUAUUCAUUCAAAAACCCAACCUGGUCUUUCAUUCAAAGGAGACCCAUCAAUUUCUUCCCAUACCAUUCCACCAACAAACACAAACCCUACCAAAAUCAACUAUAGCAUCAUACCACAAACA